GCCAGGAAGUUCACAUAUUUGACAUAAAAUCGAGGAACCACCAGAACCUCUUUUAUUUGUUGUUUGUCUAGAAUACUGCCGAGAACUAUUUUGAGCGGAUGAGUACUCCUGCCUACCACCGCGAUUAUUAGAAAAAUUCUGGCGAUUAUUAGAAUUCUUUUGCACAUUAUGAGCAACAACUGGUGCAGGAUCAUCAAUAGAAUUAAUCCGUUUCAAAUAUAACUCAUGAGAUAGAAGCUUUUCCUGAAGUGCUUCAAACGAAAUUAUUGUGUCUCUACCUCGAACCGCAGCAGCAAUAUCCCUGAAAUCAGACCCCACACCAUUCAACACAUGAAUAACAAGAUCAAUCUCAGAAAUCGGACUCCCAGAAAUAGCCAAAUCUUCUGAAAUUGCCUUAACCGUCUGUAAAUAGUCA
rnacentral:lncRNA from 1 species